UUGAUAAUGGAAAGCUACAUGGAUAACCGUGGUAAUUCUAGAGCUAAUACAUGCUGUCAAGCCCAACUUCUCGGAAGGGCUGUAUUUAUUAGAUAUCAAGCCAAUAUUCCUUCGGGUCUAUUGUGGUGAAUCAUAGUAACUGAUCGAAUCCUCAUUUGGAUAAAUCAUUCAAGUUUCUGCCCUAUCAGCUUUCGAUGGUAGUGUAUUGGACUACCAUGGCAUUAACGGGUACGGAGAAUUAGGGUUCGGUUCCGGAGAGGGAGCCUGAGAAACGGCUACCACAUCUAAGGAAGGCAGCAGUGGUGAAAAUUACCCAAUCCUGAUUCAGGGAGGUAGUGACAAGAAAUAGAAAUCUGGGCCACUUUCGUGGUUACGGAAUUUAAAUGAGAACAAUUUAAAAGACUUAUCGAGGAACAAUUGGAGGGCAAGUCUGGUGCCAGCAGCCGCGGUAAUUCCAGCUCCAAUAGCGUAUAUUAAAGUUGUUGCAGUUAAAAAGCUCGUAGUUGAACUUCUGUACAGUCUCAUUUCUGGCUUAGGUCAAGAUGUUGGCUGUGCAUCCGCUUGCAAAGCUGGUUCGGCCUUAACUGGUCGGCUAGUAGAGUAAGCCCUUUACUUUGAAAAAAUUAGAGUGUUUCAGGCAGGCAAUGGCUCGAAUACAUUAGCAUGGAAUAAUGGAAUAGGACUUUUGUCCAUUUGGUUGGUUAUUGGACUUAAGUAAUGAUUAAAAGGGACAGUUGGGGGCAUUGGUAUUUAACAGUCAGAGGUGAAAUUCUUGGAUUUGUUAAAGACUAACUUAUGCGAAAGCAUUUGCCAAGGAUGUUUUCAUUAAUCAAGAACGAAAGUUAGGGGAUCAAAGACGAUCAGAUACCGUCCUAGUCUUAACUAUAAACUAUACCGACUCAGAAUCGGAAUGGCCUUUCAAACUAUUCCGGCGCUGUAUGAGAAAUCAAAGUCUUUGGGUUCUGGGGGGAGUAUGGUCGCAAGGCUGAAACUUAAAGGAAUUGACGGAAGGGCACCACCAGGCGUGRAACCUGCGGCUUAAUUUGACUCAACACGGGGAAACUUACGAGCGCAAAACUAGGGUAGGAUUGACAGAUUG
rnacentral:rRNA from 1 species